rnacentral:rRNA from 1 species
AGGGUUCGAUCCUGGCUCAGGAUGAACGCUAGCGGCAGGCUUAACACAUGCAAGUCGAGGGGUAACGGGGAAGCUUGCUUCCGCCGACGACCGGCGCACAGGUGCGUAACGCGUAUACAAUCUACCUUGUACUGGGGUAUAGCCUUUAGAAAUGAAGAUUAAUCCCCCAUAGUCUCUUAGAGUGGCAUCACUUCUAGAGUAAAGGUUACGGUAUAAGAUGAGUAUGCGUUCUAUUAGUUUGUUGGUGUGGUAACGGCACACCAAGACUACGAUAGAUAGGGGCCCUGAGAGGGGGAUCCCCCACACUGGUACUGAGACACGGACCAGACUCCUACGGGAGGCAGCAGUGAGGAAUAUUGGACAAUGGAGGCAACUCUGAUCCAGCCAUGCCGCGUGCAGGAAGACUGCCCUAUGGGUUGUAAACUGCUUUUAUACAGGAAGAAACACCUCUACGUGUAGAGGCUUGACGGUACUGUAAGAAUAAGGAUCGGCUAACUCCGUGCCAGCCGCCGCGGUAAUUC